rnacentral:misc_RNA from 1 species
UAAAACUAGGGUGUAGCUAAUAUUUUAUUACAUUCCGAGAGUUAAACGACAUGUCAGCGCUUAGUAUUGCAAGUGUAUUUUCAUUGAUUCUGCUGGAAAUCCCAUUUCUUCUCAUUCUUUUUUUCAAGGAUAAAUAAGGAUUCCCAACAAAAAAAAAUAUUAUUUUUACCUUAUGUACAAGU